UACGUAGGGGGCAAGCGUUGUCCGGAAUCAUUGGGCGUAAAGCGCGUGUAGGCGGUUCGGUAAGUCGGCUGUGAAAGUCCAGGGCUCAACCCUGGGAUGCCGGUCGAUACUGCCGGACUAGAGUUCGGAAGAGGCGAGUGGAAUUCCCGGUGUAGCGGUGAAAUGCGCAGAUAUCGGGAGGAACACCAAUGGCGAAGGCGGUACUCGGCUGGACUUACUGACGCUGAGGCGCGAAAAGCCGG
rnacentral:rRNA from 1 species